rnacentral:rRNA from 1 species
UAAUACGUAGGUGGCAAGCGUUGUCCGGAAUUAUUGGGCGUAAAGCGCGCGCAGGCGGUCCUUUAAGUCUGAUGUGAAAGCCCACGGCUCAACCGUGGAGGGUCAUUGGAAACUGGGGGACUUGAGUGCAGGAGANAAAAGUGGAAUUCCACGUGUAGCGGUGAAAUGCGUAGAGAUGUGGAGGAACACCAGUGGCGAAGGCGACUUUUUGGCCUGUAACUGACGCUGAGGCGCGAAAGCGUGGGGAGCAAACAGGAUUAGAUACCCUGGUAGUCCACGCCGUAAACGAUGAGUGCUAAGUGUUAGANGGUUUCCGCCCUUUAGUGCUGAAGUAAACGCAUUAAGCACUCCGCCUGGGGAGUACGGCCGCAAGGCUGAAACUCAAAGGAAUCGACGGGGACCGCACAAGCGGUGGGGCAUGUGGUUUAAUUCGAAACAACGCGAAGAACCUUACCAGGUCUUGACAUCCUCUGACAAUCCUAGAGAUAGGACUUCCCCUUCCGGGGGACAGA